CAACAACAGCUGAACUGAAAGGUACUUUAACAACACUAGAUGGUUUAAGUACUAUAUAUGUCCAUACAGAGCUUUACAGUACUGUAACAACAUCUCUUCAGUCCUCAACAUGUCAACCAAACAUGCACAAUCAGUGCAUACAGAGCUACACAGAACUGUAGAGAGGAGAGAGGACAGACAGUGGAGAGGUGAGACAGAGAAGAGGACAGACAGUAGAGAGGACAGACAGUAGAAAGAGUAGAGAGGAGAGACAGCAGAGAGAAGAGACAGUAGAAAGGAGAGACAGCAGAAAGGAGAGACAGAGAAGAGACAGAUGAGAGGAGAGACAACAGAGAGGAGAGACAGAGAAGAGGAGAGACAGCAGAGAGGUGAGACAACAGGGAUAUCGGAGAAGAGAGACAGCAGAGAGUAAAGACAGAGGAGAAGGAGAGAAAGAGGAGAGAGAGGAGAAGAGGAGAGACGUAGAGAGGAGAGACAGAGGAGAAGAGGAGAGACGGCAGAGAGGAGAGACAGCAGAGAGGAGAG
ensembl:lncRNA